rnacentral:lncRNA from 1 species
ACAUUGAGGAAUACACAACUUAUUUUCUUUGAAAAGAAAAUCAUCAUGCCUGAAGAACUUAUCAAAACCCCCUUUCUCACAUGCCUCAUAAACAUUAGCAAAAUCAUGAUCAGAAUUAUAUAAAUUUUUAAUAUACUCAAAACCCAAUAAUUUUGCAUCAAGUUGAGAAAUUAGAGCAUACCUUCUAGAAAGAGCAUCGGCAACCACAUUUUCCUUACCUUGUUUAUACUUGAUGAUGUAUGGAAAGGAUUCAACAAACUCCACCCAUUUUGCAUGCCUACGGUUUAGUUUUCCUUGUCCUUUGAGAUAUUUCAAGGACUCAU